rnacentral:rRNA from 1 species
UAGCGAAGGGGGCUAGCGUUGUUUCGGAUUUACUGGGCGUAAAGCGCACGUAGGCGGUUUGUUAAGUCAGAGGUGAAAUCCCGGAGCUCAACUCCGGAACUGCCUUUGAUACUGGCAAGCUAGAGUCCGGAAGAGGUAAGUGGAACUCCUAGUGUAGAGGUGGAAUUCGUAGAUAUUAGGAAGAACACCAGUGGCGAAGGCGGCUUACUGGUCCGGAACUGACGCUGAGGUGCGAAAGCGUGGGGAGCAAACAGG